rnacentral:rRNA from 1 species
GAUCCUGGCUCAGAUUGAACGCUGGCGGCAGGCUUAACACAUGCAAGUCGAACGGUAACAUAAAGAAGCUUGCUUCUUUGAUGACGAGUGGCGGACGGGUGAGUAAUGCUUGGGAAUCUAGCUUAUGGAGGGGGGAUAACUACGGGAAACUGUAGCUAAUACCGCGUAGAAUCGGGAGAUGAAAGUGUGGGACCUUCGGGCCACAUGCCAUAGGAUGAGCCCAAGUGGGAUUAGGUAGUUGGUG